CGUCUUCCAUUUGUUGCGGACAAAUAAAGUGAAUAUGGCUAUCAAACCCACCCGCCGUCAAAAUACGCCCUUCGCCUGCGAUAAUCUCCGUUCCGGGGCCAAUGAUAAUAUCCACAUUGGAUUGGGUAUCCGGAUUGCCCGCCUUUCCAAUCGCCGCGAUAAACCCACCACGCAAACCCACGUCUGCCUUGUAAAUCCCUGUCGUGUCGACAAUGAGGGCGUUGGUAAUUACCGUAUCCAUGGCUCCGCCAGCCCUCGAAAUUUGGCUUUGCCCCAUGCCGUCACG
rnacentral:sRNA from 1 species